GUUCAGUCUGACAGCACAUGUUAAAAUAGACAGGAUGCAGACAAGAUGAGCACAGCCCCCUUGCAAAGGUGAUGCACAAAUUUGUGAGACAUUCUAUAUUUUG